AUUGAACGCUGGCGGCAGGCCUAACACAUGCAAGUCGAGCGGAUGAAGGGAGCUUGCUCCUGGAUUCAGCGGCGGACGGGUGAGUAAUGCCUAGGAAUCUGCCUGGUAGUGGGGGAUAACGUCCGGAAACGGGCGCUAAUACCGCAUACGUCCUGAGGGAGAAAGUGGGGGAUCUUCGGACCUCACGCUAUCAGAUGAGCCUAGGUCGGAUUAGCUAGUUGGUGGGGUAAAGGCCUACCAAGGCGACGAUCCGUAACUGGUCUGAGAGGAUGAUCGGUCACACUGGAACUGAGACACGGUCCAGACUCCUACGGGAGGCAGCAGUGGGGAAUAUUGGACAAUGGGCGAAAGCCUGAUCCAGCCAUGCCGCGUGUGUGUAGAAGGUCUUCGGAUUGUAAAGCACUUUAAGUUGGGAGGAAGGGCAGUAAGUUAAUACCUUGCUGUUUUGACGUUACCAACAGAAUAAGCACCGGCUAACUUCGUG
rnacentral:rRNA from 1 species